CCUACGGGGGGCAGCAGUGGGGAAUAUUGGGCAAUGGAGGCAACUCUGACCCAGCAAUGCCGCGUGAAUGAAGAAGGUCUUCGGAUUGUAAAGUUCUUUAGUCAGGGAAGAAUAAAAUGACGGUACCUGAAGAAUAAGCUCCGGCUAAAUAGGUGCCAGGAGCCGCGGUAAAACGUAGGGAGCAAGCGUUGUUCGGAAUGACUGGGCGUAAAGGGUGCGUAGGCGGUUAUAAAAAUUAGAAGUGAAAUACCCAGGGCUUAACCCGGGUGCUGCUUCUAAAACUGUAAGACUUGAGUGCAGGAGAGGUUAGUGGAAUUCCUGGUGUAGCGGUGGAAUGCGUAGAGAUUAGGAGGAACACCAGUGGCGAAGGCGGCUAACUGGACUGCAACUGACGCUGAGGCACGAAAGUGUGGGGAGCAAACAGGAUUAGAUACCCGAGUAGUC
rnacentral:rRNA from 1 species